rnacentral:rRNA from 1 species
AAUCUGGCGUUUAUCGUCCGAGUUGUAAUUUGGAGGGGUAUCUUCGGGAACGACACCGUUCUAUGUUCCUUUGAACAGGACAUCACAGAGGGUGAGAAUCCCGUGCUUGGGCGGUUUGUCGCGACCAUGUGAAGUGCCUCCGACGAGUCGAGUUGUUUGGGAAUGCAGCUCAAAAUGGGUGGUAAAUUUCAUCUAAAGCUAAAUAUUGGCGAGAGACCGAUAGCGCACAAGUAGAGUGAUCGAAAGAUGAAAAGAACUUUGAAAAGAGGGUCAAACAGUACGUGAAAUUGUUGAAAGGGAAGCGCUUGAGAUCGAACUCAGCCGGUGGCACACAGCCGAGCUUCUGCUCGGUGCACUGGUCAUCGGCUGGGCCAGCAUCGGUUCCGACGGCGGGAUAAAGGGUCGGGAAACGUGGCUCGCCUCGCGCGAGUGUUAUAGUCCCGCGCCGUAAUACCGCCAGUCCGGGACCGAGGACCGCGCUUCGGCUAGGAUGCUG